UUAAGCAUAUCAAUAAGCGGAGGAAAAGAAACCAACAGGGAUUGCCCUAGUAACGGCGAGUGAAGCGGCAACAGCUCAAAUUUGAAAUCUGGCGUCUUUGGCGUCCGAGUUGUAAUUUGCAGAGGGCGCUUUGGCAUUGGCAGCGGUCCAAGUUCCUUGGAACAGGACGUCACAGAGGGUGAGAAUCCCGUACGUGGUCGCUAGCCUUUACCGUGUAAAGCCCCUUCGACGAGUCGAGUUGUUUGGGAAUGCAGCUCUAAAUGGGAGGUAAAUUUCUUCUAAAGCUAAAUACUGGCCAGAGACCGAUAGCGCACAAGUAGAGUGAUCGAAAGAUGAAAAGCACUUUGGAAAGAGAGUUAAAAAGCACGUGAAAUUGUUGAAAGGGAAGCGCUUGCAGCCAGACUUGCCUGUAGUUGCUCAUCCGGGUUUUUACCCGGUGCACUCUUCUAUAGGCAGGCCAGCAUCAGUUUGGGCGGUUGGAUAAAGGUCUCUGUCAUGUACCUCUCUUCGGGGAGAACUUAUAGGGGAGACGACAUGCAACCAGCCUGGACUGAGGUCCGCGCAUCUGCUAGGAUGCUGGCGUAAUGGCUGUAAGCGGCCCGUCUUGAAACACGGACCAAGGAGUCUAACAUCUAUGCGAGUGUUUGGGUGUCAAGCCCGAGCGCGUAAUGAAAGUGAACGGAGGUGGGAACCUUUCGGGGUGCACCAUCGACCGAUCCUGAUGUCUUCGGAUGGAUUUGAGUAAGAGCAUAGCUGUUGGGACCCGAAAGAUGGUGAACUAUGCUUGAAUAGGGUGAAGCCAGAGGAAACUCUGGUGGAGGCUCGCAGCGGUUCUGACGUGCAAAUCGAUCGUCAAAUUUGGGCAUAGGGGCGAAAGACUAAUCGAACUAUCUAGUAGCUGGGUUCCUGCCGAAGUUCCC
rnacentral:rRNA from 1 species